rnacentral:rRNA from 1 species
AUUGAACGCUGGCGGCAUGCUUUACACAUGCAAGUCGAACGGUAACAGGCCGCAAGGUGCUGACGAGUGGCGAACGGGUGAGUAAUGCAUCGGAACGUGCCCAGUCGUGGGGGAUAACUACUCGAAAGAGUAGCUAAUACCGCAUACGACCUAUGGAUGAAAGCGGGGGACCGUAAGGCCUCGCGCGAUUGGAGCGGCCGAUGUCAGAUUAGGUAGUUGGUGGGGUAAAGGCUCACCAAGCCAACGAUCUGUAGCUGGUCUGAGAGGACGACCAGCCACACUGGGACUGAGACACGGCCCAGACUCCUACGGGAGGCAGCAGUGGGGAAUUUUGGACAAUGGGCGCAAGCCUGAUCCAGCAAUGCCGCGUGCAGGAAGAAGGCCUUCGGGUUGUAAACUGCUUUUGUACGGAACGAAACGGCUCCGGUUAAUACCCGGGGCUAAUGACGGUACCGUAAGAAUAAGCACCGGCUAACUACGUG